rnacentral:rRNA from 1 species
UACGUAGGGUGCAAGCGUUAAUCGGAAUUACUGGGCGUAAAGCGUGCGCAGGCGGUUUUGUAAAGACUGUCGUGAAAUCCCCGGGCUCAACCUGGGGAAUGGCGAUGGUGACUGCAAGGCUAGAGUUUGGCAGAGGGGGGUAGAAUUCCACGUGUAGCAGUGAAAUGCGUAGAUAUGUGGAGGAACACCGAUGGCGAAGGCAGCCCCCUGGGUCAAAACUGACGCUCAUGCACGAAAGCGUGGGGAGCGAAACAGG